ACAGUGAUGACUCAGACCUGGAGCACAGCUCUUUACAGCUGAUAUCUCUUGAGGCCCUUACUGCAGCUCUGUGAGAGAACAAUCAUUGGUGCUUGAAAAAGACCUCUUUGACAGGAUAAAGGAUAUUCAAGAGGUGGGAACAAUUUGUUUUGAGGACCAUAGGGGCUGCAGGAUCAGGCAGAGAAGAGUUGAAAGCUGAGUACAAGGGAACAGCAAUGAAACACACUUUAGGAAGACUCCAGCUGGUGACUACUUUCAGCUCCCUGAAUUUGUUUUUCCUGAGAACCCAAAGUCGAGGAGAAUAACCCUCUGGGAAAUUAGGCUCCAAGAAGACAAUUUCCAUCCUCUGUGAUCAAAGCCUUGUCAUAAGAC